ACCCCUUGUGCCCACUACACCAACCCCCUUGGCCCUGCUAACCACCAAAUUGUUCUCUCUGUCUAUGUGUUAGUUUAUCUUCCACAUAUGAGUGAAAUCAUGUGGUGUCUCUCUUUGUCUGCAAAAA